UUAAAUGAAUCUAAUUUUAGAAUGCCACUGUUAAUGGCAGCUAGCGCCUCAUUAAGACGCCAUUUAAA
rnacentral:tRNA from 1 species